rnacentral:rRNA from 1 species
GAUGAACGCUGACAGAAUGCUAAACACAUUCAAGUCAACUGUGGCGGACGGGUGAGCAACGCGUAAAGAACUUGCCUCACUGCUAGGGACAACAUUUUGAAACGAAUGCUCAUCCCUGAUACUGUGAGAGCGCUUUGCGUCCCAUUAGCUCGUGGGAGAGGUAUCGGCUCACCAAGGCGAUGAUGGGUAGCCGGCCUGCGAGGGUGAUCGGCCAAAAGGGGACUGGGAAACGGCCGUUACGCCUACGGGAGGCAGGAGUGGGGAUGAUUGGACAAUGGACAACAGUCUGUGGCAGGAAUGCUGGGGGCGGGAUAAAGUUUUCGGAAUGUAAAGUGCUUACAGGUGAGAAGCGGUUACAUCAGAAGAAGUGAAGGCGAAAUACGUGCCAGCAGCCGCGGUAAUAC